rnacentral:rRNA from 1 species
GUGAGGAAUAUUGGUCAAUGGGCGGGAGCCUGAACCAGCCAAGUCGCGUGAAGGAAGAAGGAUCUAUGGUUCGUAAACUUCUUUUGCAGGGGAAUAAAGUGCAGGACGUGUCCUGUUUUGUAUGUACCCUGAGAAUAAGGAUCGGCUAACUCCGUGCCAGCAGCCGCGGUAAUACGGAGGAUCCGAGCGUUAUCCGGAUUUAUUGGGUUUAAAGGGUGCGUAGGUGGUUUGAUAAGUCAGCGGUGAAAGGUUGCAGCUUAACUGUAAAAAUGCCGUUGAAACUGUCGGACUUGAGUGUAAAUGAGGUAGGCGGAAUGCGUGGUGUAGCGGUGAAAGGCAUAGAUAUCACGCAGAACUCCGAUUGCGAAGGCAGCUUACUAAGCUACAACUGACACUGAAGCACGAAAGCGUGGGGAUCAAACAGGAUUAGAAACCCUAGUAGUCC